GGCCUAAUGGCCCAAUGGCAAGGCGCUUGACUACGAUUUUCCCGAAAUCAAGAGAUUCCAGGUUCGACCCCUGGUUAGGUCA